UACGUAGGGUGCGAGCGUUGUCCGGAAUUAUUGGGAGUAAAGAGCUUGUAGGCGGUUUGUCGCGUCUGCCGUGAAAAUCCGGGGCUCAACCCCGGACUUGCGGUGGGUACGGGCAGACUAGAGUGUGGUAGGGGAGACUGGAAUUCCUGGUGUAGCGGUGAAAUGUGCAGAUAUCAGGAGGAACACCGAGGGCGAAGGCAGGUCUCUGGGCCACUACUGACGCUGAGAAGCGAAAGCGUGGGGAGCGAACAGG
rnacentral:rRNA from 1 species